AUGUGGUGUCGCCUCUGGCUGCCCGCCUGCCUGGCCUGGGGCUGUGUGGCCGCGCUGUGCGGCUCCCGCGGGCUCUGCCCGGCCCCGAACGCCUCCGGCCCCGAGCCGGGUCAGUGCCCGCGGCGCCGGGCGGCGGAGCUGUGCGCCUGGGCCCUGUCCUCCGACAGCCUCCUAGAUAUUUUUCCAGUGGAUGUGAUCCAAGAAAAUUAUGUCCGUAAUGUGAGAAACUGCAUUUUUUCAGUUGUCUAUCCUACACCUUUUAAAUCUAGAGUUCGUCUUGUAGCUGUUUCAAAGGAAGUUCUUGAAAAUAUUUUGGAUCUUGAUGUAUCUGUCAAAGGAUCAUCUGAUUUUCUGGAGUUCAUCAGUGGUGGGAAAGUGACAUUUGGGUCUGUUCCACUGGCCCAUAGGUAUGGGGGCCACCAGUUUGGUAGCUGGGCAGGUCAGCUGGGGGAUGGAAGAGCCCACUUGAUCGGAGUAUAUACCAACAGGCAUGGUGAGAGGUGGGAACUACAGUUAAAAGGGUCAGGAAAGACCCCGUACUCCAGGAAUGGUGAUGGAAGAGCUGUGCUUCGCUCUUCUGUUCGAGAGUUUUUAUGUAGUGAGGCCAUGCACUAUCUUGGAAUUCCAACAAGCAGAGCUGCUAGCUUAGUUGUAAGUGAUGAUGCUGUGUGGAGAGACCAGUUUUACAAUGGAAAUAUUAAGAAAGAAAGAGGUGCAAUAGUGCUACGACUUGCCAAAUCAUGGUUUCGUAUAGGAUCCUUGGAAAUCUUAGCUCACUCUGGGGAGCUGGACUUACUAAGAAGAUUAUUAGACUUUAUCAUCCAGGAACAUUUUCCAUCAAUAGCUGUGAAUGAUUCAAAUAAAUACCUGGAAUUUUUCUCUACAGUCGUGUCAGAGACUGCAAAUCUCAUUUCCUUGUGGAUGUCUGUGGGGUUUGCACAUGGUGUGUGCAAUACAGAUAACUUCAGUUUAUUGUCCAUAACGAUAGAUUAUGGUCCAUUUGGAUUUAUGGACUCCUAUGACCCAAAUUUUGUUCCAAACACAUCUGAUGAUGAAAGGAGGUAUAAAAUAGGAAAUCAGGCAAGUGUUGGUCUGUUUAAUCUGAGCAAGCUGUUACAAGCUCUAAAACCUUUAUUGGAUCCCAGGCAAAAGCAGCUAGCUUCCCAAAUUUUGGAGGGGUAUGGUGAGCACUAUUACAGUCGUUUCACAGAACUAUUCAAAGCAAAAUUGGGUCUUCUUGGGGAGAAUGAGAAUGAUAACUAUUUGAUUGCUUUCCUCUUAAAAAUUAUGGAAGAUACAAAGGCUGAUUUUACAAUGACAUUCCGAGAGCUGAGUGAAAUUACUGCAGACCAGUUAAAGGAGCUCCAUAUUCCUGAGGAGUUCUGGGCUCUCCAAGACCUGGGUAAACACAAAUUAUUUUCAGAAUGGGUUACUAUGUACCUCCUGAGAUUAAACAGUAACAAUGGUGACUCAGAUGCCAAAAGAAGAACAAGAAUGGCAAAUGUUAAUCCUAGAUACAUACUUAGGAAUUGGAUGGCAGAAUCAGCAGUGCAAAAGGCUAAUUUGAAUGAUUUCUCAGAGGUUCAGCUCCUAGAGCAGGUUUUACAACACCCCUUUCAGAGGCAGGAGGCUGCAGAGAGAGCAGGGUACUCCCUGCGCCCCCCAGCUUGGGCCAAGCAUCUGAAAGUCAGCUGCUCAUCCUGAGAGGAAAUCAAACAAGUGAGAAGAAUGAUCAAGGUCAAAGCUCAAGCCUUCAAAUAGGGCUAAUGGAUCAAGCCGCAGGAACUUCUCUCCCUUGGAUUUUAUGGACUGCAAUCUGCUACUGUUCUUGACCAACUUAUGAAGUCUUAAGAUUAAAGAAGCGCAUCACUAUUUUUGGUUGCAUCAACAGGUUAUACUGGCAUUGACAACUCUGCCUCUGCCAUUCAGCUGUGCAUUACUUUGAGUCCAAAUAUUUAAGUUCUGCCAAACUAGUCACACUUAACCUCUCAAAAUUCAUGGCUGAUCAGGUCUUCUCCCAUGGAAUUCUUCCAAGAUCCCUAAAGAUGCUAAAGUUGGUUCUUAUUUGAAAUCUUGCUCUCAGUCCUGCUACCUGUUUCUUCAAUACUGAGCUCUGCAAUCUCAUGGUCACUGCAGCCAAGGCUGCCCCAACCAUCCCAGGUCCAACAAGGCCUUCCCUGUUUGUUUGUGUAAGGUUGGGCAGCCCAGCAUUCCUUGUGGGAUCCUCCACCUCCUGGGACAAGAAAUUGUCAUCAGAACCUCCUGCACUGCUUGUGCUUUGCUGUUUUGCUUCUCCAGAAGCUGUCAGGGUAGUUAAAGCCCCACCAAGAACCAGGGCCUGUGGCUGUGGGGCUGCUCCCAGCUGCCUGCAGAAGCCGCAUCCACUCCCUCUGAUCAGGCGGCCUGCAGCAAACACCCACAAUGGUGUCACCCUUACUAGUCUGGCCUUUUAUCCUCACCAAGGCAGAGCUCGGUACACUCCAAGUGUUGUCUCACAUCGAGGGCAACUCCACCACUGCACCUUCCUGAUCUGUCUCUCCUAAACAGCCUGUGGCCCUUCAUGACAACAUUCCAGUCACAGGAGAUAUCCCACCAUGUCCAUAAUUGCAAUGAGAACAAAGCCCAGUGGCUGCACAGAGGUCUCUAGAUCCUCCUGUUUGUUUGCUGCUUCUAGAGAAAAGUGCUCUGCAGUCAGCAGCAUUAAUUCUGGCAUGAGCUAAUUAUAAAAUGUAUGCCUCCUCUUCCUUACUCCUUGCCUACAAACAUGGAAGUAAAUCAGACACAGGAGGAGGGAACCACUGGCUGAGUUCUCAGAAUGUGAUCCGGUCCAGAGGAAGUGGGGUUCAGAACAGAGAAACUGGAGGAACUCAAAGAUAGAAACAAGAAGUGUAGUACACGUAAUGCUGGUGACAGAAAAAUCCUAGGAAUUUAAUUUCAUUUGUCCUGUGCACUUCAUGCAUGUUGGAGAGAUUGAAUAAUGAACUGCAAACAAAUGCACACUUUUUUCUGUGUGAUGUUCUCUUGUUGUUUGGAGCUUAACUAGGAAAUGCAUUUAGAACUUAAGGAAAACAUGUAAUGUUUUCCCUUAGUUCUUCGCAGUUUCUCCUUUCUUACACACACUUCAGCUGCACUAUUCCCUACUGAAAACACUACUAUAUCCCUUGUGUUUCUAAGGCAAGACCUUUUUUUUUGGCAGAGACAGAACAUGGCACCCAGGUUCUGGCAGCAUACUUUGAGACUAUUCCAGCAGGCACAUUCCUAUUCCUGCUACAUGAACUCAUGGCUGCUUGUUCUGAAGAACAAAAGCAGGGGGUGGCUGUGCUUUCACCUCCCAUCAGAGACUCCUGGUUCUGCACAGCACACACAGUGUUUGCAGUGUGCAAAGCAUGAGGAGGGGCAGCCACCUUUCCCAGGAGCCAAAUCCUUCUCAUUGGCACUUUGAGGGGGACGACAGCAGGUGAAGGACAACAAACCUGGAGAACUCAUUCACAGAUG